ACGUAAUAGAUACCCGGGUAGUCCACGCCCUAAACGAUGUCUACUAGUUGUUGGUGGAGUAAAAUCCAUGAGUAAACGCAGCUAAACGCGUGAAGUAGACCGCCUGGGGAGUACGGUCGCAAGAUUAAAACUCAAAUGAAUUGACGGGGGCCCGCACAAGCGGUGGAUUAUGUGGAUUAAAUUCGAUGCAACGCGAAAAACCUUACCUGGCCUUGACAUGUAACGAACUUUCCAGAGAUGGAUUGGUGCUCGAAAGAGAACGUUAACACAGGUGCUGCAUGGCUGUCGUCAGCUCGUGUCGUGAGAUGUUGGGUUAAGUCCCGCAACGAGCGCAACCCUUGCCAUUAAUUGCCAUCAUUUAGUUGGGCACUUUAAUGGGACUGCCGGUGACAACCGGAGGAAGUGGGGAUGACGUCAAGUCCUCAUGGCCCUUAUGGCCAGGGCUUCACACGUAAUACAAUGGUCGGUACAGAGAGUUGCCAACCCGCGAGGGGAGCCAAUCUCAGAAAGCCGAUCGUAGUCCGGAUUGUAGUCUGCAACUC
rnacentral:rRNA from 1 species